rnacentral:rRNA from 1 species
GAUGAACGCUGGCGGCGUGCUUAACACAUGCAAGUCGAACGAAGAGCGAUGGAUGCUUGCUUCUAUCCAUCUUAGUGGCGAACGGGUGAGUAACGCGUAAUCAACCUGCCCUUCAGAGGGGGACAACAGUUGCAAACGACUGCUAAUACCGCAUACGAUCUAAUCUCGGCAUCGGGGAUAGAUGAAAGGUGGCCUCUACAUGUCAGCUCUCACUGCAGGUGGUGAUUGCGUCGGAUUAGCUAGUUGGAGGGGUAACGGCCCCGCAAGGCGAUGAUCAGUAGCCGGUCUGAGAGGAUGAACGGCCACAUUGGGACUGAGACACGGCCCAGACUCCUACGGGAGGCAGCAGUGGGGAAUCGUCCGCAAUGGACGAAAGUCUGACGGAGCAACGCCGCGUGAGGGAUGACGGCCUUCGGGUUGUAAAGCUCUGUUAAUCGGGACGAAAGGCCUUCUUGCGAAUAGUGAGAAGGAUUGACGGUACCGGAAUAGAAAGCCACGGCUAACUACGUG